rnacentral:lncRNA from 1 species
GGUGGAGGUCGAACCUUCUGGUUCAGGUCGCAGGAAGGGAAAACCCCCUAUAUGGGGGUCAAUUUCUCAAAUUGAAGAAGAAUUAACGAGAUUGGAGCUUGAUUCUAUCAUCCUUCUCGAUUUCUAUGGAUAAUGGUGAGAUAACAUUUGGAUGGCAACGGGUCAAACGGGUGAUAAAGCAACAACACUCCUACGGGCGAAGGUGAGUGACUCGAAUGUGUUUGGAUUCGAAUUGAAUUAAAUAGUAUUCUUGUUAACUUGAAACUUUAUAGUUAAGGUGGACGGUGUAAUUGGGGUUCGAUUUAACAAUAACGUAUUGUUUUUAUUAUGUUUUUGGGGUUUAAAACCACUGAAAAAUAGUGCAAAUUGUUAAUGGGUCGAGAGACCAAAGUGCUGAAAAUUCAGCUUAUUUCCAUAUUUUUACCAAUCUUUAAAAAUUCAUAGUAAAUCAACCGAAUGUCCGUUCGGGGCGUAUUUUAUAUCCACGGAAAGGUCUCUGAGUCCCCGUCACUAAGAAUUUUAGUUUGAAGUGAAAUAUUUAUUGUAAAUGGGGGAAAACACUGAAUUACUACAGCUGCGCAAAGCUGACUGAAAAAUAUGAAUUUUAUAGUACUUGCAUAAUCUUGGGGAAUUUACAAAGAAUCCAUUGGAUGUGAUUUUGUUAUUGUUGUAAACCUUAAUGUGAUUAUAUAUAUUUACAUGAGUUGAAAUGAGUGAUUCCUUGAAUAUGGGGUAUGCAUGCUAAAUUAAGAAGUCAUUGGUGUUGUGACCCGUAUGUGCAAACAUACGUGAUUAUUGAGUAGUGCUUAUAAAUGAAUGACACUUGUGUCGUUAAACAUAUGUGACCUAAUUGAGUAUGUUAUGAAUACAUACAUGAAUUGUUAAGAGCAGGUUAAGUAAAAUGACCGUUGAUAAGCGUAUAUGUUGUUUAAUGAAUUACAAUAUAGUUAUGCGACGGUUUACUAUUUUAUCUAUAUUGACCGGAUUGCUUUAAUAAUGGUUUCCUUUGAAGUGCCCUUGACUCUAUGUUAGCAGGGAUAUACAUGAGAUAUGGAUAAAAGGCUCCCGGAUUAGAAAGGAGAAAAUUACGGAAUGCAUGACUUGAGAUAAUGAAGUGGAGGCUCGACGUUGUUUUGUUGGGCGUCAUGAGCAUUAAAAAAAAACCUCCUUUAUGUUUGAUACAAAAAAAAUAUAAUAUUACGAGUCCUCACUUAGCAAAAGCUAAUUUUUUGUAUCUUCAAUGUAGGUGAUAUGUUUGAAAACAAUGAACGGAUAGACAAGUUAUGAGAAACAACGGGGUGGCUUGAACCGGUAACAUGCAAGAAGAAAAGAACUCAAAAGUCGUUCACCAAUAAUCCGAUUCGGGUGGUAGAAAGGCGAAAGUGAUCAAGUCUUGGAAGCGGGUCAACUAUGGAAAGAUUUAGUGAUGAUUUAUUCACUAAGUAUAUGGGUUCUUAUCGGGUCAAAUUGACCUAGUAAUUUACAUUUUGGAGUUUAACUUCAGUGUUUGUUUUAGCUAAGCGCUAGUAUGUCAAUGUAGUAGUUGGUUAUGUUUGUUUUAUAAAACUUUCGACUUUGGUUAUUAAGCAGGUUUUGUCUUCGUAAGGAAUGAUCGUUUAG